UACGUAGGGUGCAAGCGUUGUCCGGAAUUAUUGGGCGUAAAGAGCUCGUAGGCGGUUUGUCGCGUCUGCUGUGAAAACGCGAGGCUCAACCUCGCGCCUGCAGUGGGUACGGGCAGACUGGAGUGCGGUAGGGGAGAUUGGAAUUCCUGGUGUAGCGGUGGAAUGCGCAGAUAUCAGGAGGAACACCGAUGGGCGAAGGCAGAUCUCUGGGCCGUAACUGACGCUGAGGAGCGAAAGCGUGGGGAGCGAACAGG
rnacentral:rRNA from 1 species